rnacentral:snRNA from 1 species
AGCUUUGCACAGUGGCAGUAUCGUAGCCAAUGAGGUUUGUCCAAGGCGCGAUUAUUGCUAAUUAAAAUCUUCACUAUAUUAUAGC